UGAGUACGAGAUGCUACGGCAUCGAAGCAGUCUAUGUCAUACUUCCAAGAAAAGCUUGCAAUGUCAUAAACAAAUAAUGCCUGUACCAUAACCGACACAGGUGGGUAGGUAGAGUAUACUAAGGGGCGCGAGAUAACUCUCUCUAAGGAACUCGGCAAAAUGACUCCGUAACUUCGGGAGAAGGUGUGCCUUAUUUUUAUAAGGUUGCAAUAACAAGAUCCAAGCAACUGUUUACCAAAAACACAGGUCUCCGCUAAGUCGUAAGACGAUGUAUGGGGGCUGACGCCUGCCCAGUGCCAGAAGGUUAAAGAAGUUGGUUAGCAUUAGCGAAGCUGAUAACUGAAGCCCUGGUGAACGGCGGCCGUAACAAUAACGGUCCUAAGGUAGCGAAAUUCCUUGUCGGGUAAGUUCCGACCCGCACGAAAGGCGUAAUGAUUUGGAUACUGUCUCGGAGAGGGGCUCGGUGAAAUAGACUUGUCUGUGAAGAUGCGGACUACCUGCACCUGGACAGAAAGACCCUAUGAAGCUUUACUGUAACUUGAGAUUGAAAUUGGACUUUAUCUGCGCAGUAUAGGUGGGAGACGUUGAAAAUAUUCUUGCGGGAAUAUUGGAGUCAUCAGUGAGAUACCACUCUUAUAAUGUUAGAUUUCUAACUUUGUAUCAUUAUCUGGUCAAAGAACAGUUUCAGGCGGGCAGUUUGACUGGGGCGGUCGCCUCCCAAACGGUAACGGAGGCGCGCAAAGGUUUCCUCUGAACGUGUAGAAAUCGUAUCUAGAGUGUAAAGGCAUAAGGAAGCUUGACUGUGAGACCUACAAGUCGAGCAGGGACGAAAGUCGGUCUUAGUGAUCUGACGGUGCUGAGUGGAAAGGCCGUCACUCAACGGAUAAAAGUUACUCUAGGAUAACAGGCUGGUCUCCCCCAAGAGUUCACAUCGACGGGGAGGUUUGGCACCUCGAUGUCGGCUCAUCGCAUCCUGGGGCGGUAGUACGUCCCAAGGGUUGGGCUGUUCGCCCAUGAAAGCGGUACGCGAGCUGGGUUCAGAACGUCGUGAGACAGUUCGGUCCAAAUCCGGUGUAGGCGUUAGAAUAUUGAGAGGAGCCUUCUUUAGUACGAGAGGACCGAGAAGGACAUACCUCUGGUGUACCAGUUAUCGUGCCAACGGUAAACGCUGGGUAGCCAUGUAUGGAGAGGAUAACCGCUGAAAGCAUCUAAGUGGGAAGCCCACCUCAAGAUAAGUAUUCAC
rnacentral:rRNA from 1 species